AAACAUGAGAGUUUGAUCCUGGCUCAGGACGAACGCUGGCGGCGUGCCUAACACAUGCAAGUCGAGCGAUCCGGCACUCAACUAAGCGCUUACAGGAAGAAAAGACGGGAAAGAGAAAAAAGGCAGGAAGAGAAAAAAAUAUGAGUAAACGCGGAGUUGAGUGUCGGAUAGCGGCGGACGGGUGAGUAACGCGUGGACAAUCUACCCUGUAGACUGGGAUAACACCUCGAAAGGGGUGCUAAUACCGGAUAAUGUCGAGAAGCGGCAUCGCUUUUCGAAGAAAGGAGGGAAUCCGCUAUAGGAGGAGUCCGCGUCCCAUUAGCUAGUUGGUGAGGGUAACGGCCCACCAAGGCGACGAUGGGUAGCCGGCCUGAGAGGGUGAACGGCCACACUGGAACUGAGACACGGUCCAGACUCCUACGGGAGGCAGCAGUGGGGAAUAUUGUGCAAUGGGGGAAACCCUGACACAGCGACGCCGCGUGAGUGAAGAAGGCCUUCGGGUCGUAAAGCUCAAUAGUAUGGGAAGAAAGAAAUGACGGUACCAUACGAAAGCCCCGGCUAACUACGUGCCAGCAGCCGCGGUAAUACGUAGGGGGCGAGCGUUGUCCGGAAUUACUGGGCGUAAAGAGCACGUAGGCGGCUAUAAAAGUCAGAUGUGAAAAACCUGGGCUCAACCGAGGGUAUGCAUCUGAAACUAAAUAGCUUGAGUCAAGGAGAGGAGAGCGGAAUUCCUGGUGUAGCGGUGAAAUGCGUAGAGAUCAGGAAGAAUACCAGUGGCGAAAGCGGCUCUCUGGACUUGAACUGACGCUGAGGUGCGAAAGCGUGGGGAGCAAACAGGAUUAGAUACCCUGGUAGUCCACGCCGUAAACGAUGGAUACUAGGUGUGGGUUAG
rnacentral:rRNA from 1 species